ACUGUAUAUAAAGAAAAGCUUGGCGUUCAUCCGGUCUCAUUCUUCUGCGGCGCUUCAGGAACUGUCUUGUAUCCGGAGGAUUGAUUGAAAGCGUGAGACAACUGAAAUGUGGUGUGAAUCUGGAAAAUGGGGUCAAAGGAACAUGUGCAGUGAGGUUAAUUUGAAAGGUUGUUUUAGUUCUUAGCACAAGAGAUCUGAAGAUGCCAUCAGCUGAGCAAGCAUGAGUUCUGCAGGGGUUAAAGCAUAUCUGCAGGAGUUCUACAGGGGUGCAAGGGUUUACUCUUAAUUCUGGGUGUGGAGAGAUCAGCAGCUGUCUGAAUGUUCUUCAGGGACUGAUGACCAGUAUGAUGUGCUGAUGGCAGGCACCGGAGCACAAGAUUAUCUAGGAUGGCUCUGGAAACCCAUAUGGUAUAAGCUGUGUUGCCUGCAUCUGAAUUUUCUGAAUGAUAGUCCAGAGCUUCGGUUCUUGUUUUCUGAUUUUGAAGUCCCUUGUCUCUGAGGCAAUUAAGUGACACAUCUAUAUUUGUUACAAAGUUUGUAAAGAGUCAUUAUUUCAAUAAAGUUAUAAAAUCAAAGGUCUGUUUCAAGUUUAUAAGGUGCUUGAUGUAUUUGUAUAUGUGGGUUGGUUGAUCUCUUAUCAAGGCUGACAAAUUAAAAUUUUCAGGCAUUUGGUAGUAUGCAAGGACUAAUG